GACGAACGCUGGCGGCGUGCUUAACACAUGCAAGUCGAACGAAGAGCGAUGGAAGCUUGCUUCUAUCAAUCUUAGUGGCGCACGGGUGAGUAACGCGUAAUCAACCUGCCCUUCAGAGGGGGACAACAGUUGGAAACGACUGCUAAUACCGCAUACGAUCUGACCUCGGCAUCGAGGAUAGAUGAAAGGUGGCCUCUACAUGUAAGCUAUCACUGAAGGAGGGGAUUGCGUCUGAUUAGCUAGUUGGAGGGGUAACGGCCCACCAAGGCGAUGAUCAGUAGCCGGUCUGAGAGGAUGAACGGCCACAUUGGGACUGAGACACGGCCCAGACUCCUACGGGAGGCAGCAGUGGGGAAUCUUCCGCAAUGGACGAAAGUCUGACGGAGCAACGCCGCGUGAGUGAUGACGGCCUUCGGGUUGUAAAGCUCUGUUAAUCGGGACGAAAGGCCUUUUUGCGAAUAGUGAGAAGGAUUGACGGUACCGGAAGAGAAAGCCACGGCUAACUACGUG
rnacentral:rRNA from 1 species